GGAAGAGAGUGGGAGGGUUAGGAGGGCAGGGAAGGGCUGUGGGUCCAGUGGGUGCCACCUUCAACUCACCACCCUGACCAGCACGCCAGGGAGCAGCAUGGUGGCUCCAGUUCCCAAAUUGCCCAGUGCCUGCCGGGCUCCCAGAGGUCACCUGGGAGGACGGAGGGUGCUGGAAGAUGCUGGGGGGUGCCGGUGUGGCUGAGCCCCCAGACCUGAGCAUCAUGUGGGUACAGGCAUGGGGGUACCCGGGCAUGUGCCCCGGUGAGGAGGCAGGGCGCAGAGGCAGGCAGGCUGGCAGUGGGCCUCCGCUGCAAACCCUAACCUUAUUUUCCCAGGUCCGACGCCAGUUUCCAUGGAAACAGCCGGGAGCAGAAACGGGAACCAGAAUCCAGAAAUGUGAAGCUUUGAGCUCCAGUUCGCCUUCCUGGAUUCCUGCUCCCCGUGACCCCAGCUGGGUGCUGGCACCCACACUGCUCCCGCUGUGUGUUGGGGGGCAGGGCUGCCCCACCUGGGCACCCCCUGGGCGUGGGGCGCUCCUCUCUCCCUGCACGCUGCAGCACUCUGGGCAUGGUUUACUGACCCAUUUCCAUUCACACGGCUGCCAGUAUCUUAGCAACUGCAACAGUCCCCCAAGAACAGGCAUAUUGCCUGCUAUUAGUGACUGCUGCAACUGUGUCAAGGUUAGCUCUCUCCCUCCAAGCCCUGCCGGGUUUGUUUUUUGCCCAAAGCCAGCACAGUCUGUUCGGUGACAUGUCCCCCGGCAGCCGUCCUGGGUGCUGGGUGCUCAUCUCUGCCGUGGAGAAUGCCGGCGGGGCU
rnacentral:lncRNA from 14 species